rnacentral:rRNA from 1 species
UACGAAGGGGGCUAGCGUUGCUCGGAAUCACUGGGCGUAAAGAGCUCGUAGGCGGUUCGGUAAGUCAGGUGUGAAAUCUCCACGCUCAACGUGGAGGCGCCACCUGAAACUGCCGUGACUAGAGUCCGGUAGGGGAGUGUGGAAUUCCCGGUGUAGCGGUGAAAUGCGCAGAUAUCAGGAGGAACACCGGUGGCGAAGGCGGGGUCUCUGGGCCGAUACUGACGCUGAGGAGCGAAAGCGCGGGGAGCGAACAGG